UGGGGAAUAUUGGACAAUGUGCGCAAGCCUGAUCCAGCCAUGCCGCGUGAGUGAUGAAGGCCCUAGGGUUGUAAAGCUCUUUCACCGGUGAAGAUAAUGACGGUAACCGGAGAAGAAGCCCCGGCUAACUUCGUGCCAGCAGCCGCGGUAAUACGAAGGGGGCUAGCGUUGUUCGGAUUUACUGGGCGUAAAGCGCACGUAGGCGGACUUUUAAGUCAGGGGUGAAAUCCCGGGGCUCAACCCCGGAACUGCCUUUGAUACUGGAAGUCUUGAGUAUGGUAGAGGUGAGUGGAAUUCCGAGUGUAGAGGUGAAAUUCGUAGAUAUUCGGAGGAACACCAGUGGCGAAGGCGGCUCACUGGACAAUUACUGACGCUGAGGUGCGAAAGCGUGGGGAGCAAACAGG
rnacentral:rRNA from 1 species